AUCAACUUAAGGUCUGUUUUGAAUGACUUAUUUAAGUUUAUACAAAAUAGUUUAUGUAAAUAAAUAAGUUUUUAUGUAUUAUUAUAAGUUUUUCAAGGUAGUUUAUGAAAAAAUAGCUUAUAAAAAUAUAUUUUUUGUUAGUGAAAACUUACGAAUUAACAUAAAAGUUUAUUUAUUUGCGUAAGCUAUUUUGAUAAGCUUAAAAAUAAGUCAAAUCCAAACUGGGGUAUAGUGUCUUUUUAGCCCUUGAAAAUAUCAAUGUUGUACUUUUUUUUUGUCAAAUAACUUAGUGACUAGACACUUCACCCUUAGAGCGGAUAAGCGAGAUGAUCAUGAUUUGAACUUCGAUCCUCUGUAUAUAUAAUGCAAUGUCCUGCCAAUUAACUGGCUAAGCUCAUAUAGAACUUAUGUGCCCGAUUUAAUUAACUUACUAGUUACUACUCUACUACUUUUUUAUAAAUCACACUCAUUCACACACUCUCAUCAUGCGCGCAAGCUAUUUAUAAGUUGGGUAAAGAUUCAUUUUGAUCACUCACAAAUUUUUGAUUGAACAAUUUAGUCUCUAACAAAAUAAAUCUUAAAUUAGUCUCUAACAUUUUUAUAUUGGGGACAAAUCAGUCUCUCUGUUAUAAUGAAUUUGAAUUUUAUUUUUGUUAGAGACUAAAUUGUUCGGUCAAAAAUUUGUGAGGACCAAAAUGAGUCUUUACUCUUAUAUAUAAGUGUUGAUCAAUUUAAAACAUAGAUAAAUUGUCGUGAAGGCGCGCAAGGGAAAUAAACUCUCAAAACUCAAACUCAAAAUAAAAGAAAUACUAUUAUUUUGGUGUAAACUGAGUAUCUUUUGCUCGCAACUGCAGUCUGUAGAGACUAAUCUCUCGAGCUUUGUAGAAUCCAAAUGAACGGCAAAUUCUUCCCAAAAUAUUUAACGACGCUGUAUGCCAAAAUUAAAAAUCGAACCCAAUACCUUCGUUAAACUAGAAACUAUUAUUUAAAACCUCUUUUGACAACAAAUAUUUUUCGCAGUCUUUCUUUUUACGAAAACAAUAAAAGUGCUGGAUGAUGGUUUGUGGUUUAAUUUCUUCAACUUUAGAACAUGUUGCCUACUUGUAGGUUGCUUUGUAAAUUUAGUAUAUGAAUUUUUCUUUCAAUGUGGAGAAAGGAUGUUUUAACCAAUUUGGUCUGUAAAUAUUUUUUUUCAAUUGAACAUAUAAUUAAUAUCAUGCACACUACUUCCAAAACAUUAUAUUCAACUUUACAUUUAUGAUGUGACCAAAAAAAAAAAUUUACAUUUAUGGUAGGAAAAUACGUCCAAAAUUAAUAAAGAUAAUUUAGUAAAAUACUACUCCUAGUAACUACUACUGUAUUAUCUUUCUUCUAAUUAUUACGUACAUUUUUUUUUAAACAAAAUUCAUUUUGAAAUGGAAGAAUUAUCAAUGUUAAGGAAGUUUUUGUUUUGAAAAAUCCUCGAUCUCAACAUUUUAAAUCUAGUAGAUUUUAAACGAUAUGAUGCCAUACAUCCUAACAAGAUGUAUGGUACCACAUUCGUCAAAUUCAAGCUUGUAAUUGUCACUUCAUCAACCAUGUCAAUGGAAGUUUCCAAACAAAAAACCUACAACUUCACUUUCUUACCAUAUGAAGUUAGUUUUCUUAUUUUAUAACCAUUGCUGCACUGGGGCAUAGGGAAUUUUAAGACAUUAUAUUAUAUACACAUUUAAAAAUCUACUUUUAAAGGUACAAAUACAGUAAUAUGUACAUAAAUAUUCAUGGAAAAAUCACUAAAUCAACAUUGUUUAGGAUAUUUAUUAGAUAGAAUAGUAGUUGGAGAAUAUAUAAUCCAAGAUGCAACAUUUCACAGAAAAUUUAUUGUAAGAUUAAAAUGUUAAUGAUAUUAUUACUCUCUUGAAUUUGCAGAGACAUGUCCAAAAACAGAAUAAUUCUAAAUUUAGUCCAUCAUGAUUCAUGAUAUAGACAUUAUGGGUGCGUUUGAUUUGCUAAAAAACAGAGGACUAGACAGGACAACUUUUGUUGUACUCUGUUUGAUUUGAAAUUGGUUAUGGGACUGACAAAUUAGGUAACAAGGGACAGAACAAAAACAAGAUUUUUUGUCCCUCACCAAACCACGGGACAACUUUUUGUCCACGGUACAACUAUAAAAAAUACGAAAAUACUCAUUUUAUUUUCGAAUAUAAAAAUAUUAUCGUCCUAUAUCUUUCCGGUACAGGUUUGUCCUGUCCUGUAUUAUCUUGUUUUGUCUGUACUGUUCUAUCCAGUCCUUGCUAUUUUACGAAUCAAACGCACCCUAUUAGUUAACAUCAAAUUCAUUAACCAAAGUAUCACAAUUUCCUUGGGAGUACACAAAUUGGAUAUAUAACAUACCAUAAUAAAAAAAGUUUUUUUCUGAACAAGGAUAAUAAGAAAAGUUGAUAUAAAUAUUCAUGCACCAUUAAACAUCACUACAUGCUUAUAUAAAUGUAACAAUUUUUUUAGUUAGAAAUUUCACACUUAAGGUAAUAAAUGAGGUGUCCGAUGAUAGAACUUCAACCCUUACAUAUAUAAUACAAUGUUCGUAUUAACUGAGCUAAGUAGGACAAUGCGACAAUUUUCUAUUCAUUAUGUGGAACCAUAUGUGUUGCUUCAAUAUAAAUGUGACAAAUGUUGUGGCAUGUGGCAUCAUAUCCCUUUAUGCAGAACAAAUAAGAGGGGAAAGAUCCAAGAUUAUAUUAGACAAGUGCUGAUUACACAUCAAAAACAGGAACAUCUACAACACUAUUUUCCUAUAAAACCUUAGUCACAUACUAAAAUCAUUGAAAUAAAUUGAAACCUUAAUCUUAAAAAAGAAAAAUGUUUCAACCAAAGUCACUACAACUUAUAGUUGUUUUGACCCUUUUCUUAUCAUUGCCUUAUUUUAAUUUUGAAGCUUAUGGAGAUGCAUUAGAGAAUCCUAAUUGUGAUCCACCAUGUCAACAAUACUCUCCACCACCAAUUUCUGGUUAUCCUUCAUAUGGAGCUCCACCACCACCACCACCUUCUGGCUACUCUAUAUAUACUGCUCCACCGCCUCCGCCGCCGCCACAUCAUGAGAAAGGACAGAGUAAGUGUCCUCCAGCUGGUGGUGGUGUUGAGUGUUGUACACCUCCUGCUCCUAUUACUUAUGGACCACCUAAUCCUAACACUUUUGGACCUCCUAAUCCUUACACUUAUGUGCCUUAUGGUGAAGGUGGACGUUCAACUUAUGUUGUAAUGCAAUUUGUAGUACCUAUUUUUAUGUUCUUUUCUUGUUUUAUUCUCUUCUGAAUUUUGUUUGUUUUUAAUUUUAGUGAUCAAUUUAUAAAAUUGGACAUCAUAUAUAUGUAAUAAUAUUAAUACUAGGUUGUCAAUAGUCAAAUGUUAGUAGCAUAUAUUUAUAAUAUUUUGAUGCUCCAAUUGGUAUGAUAAUAUGGCAAAAUCCUUUAUAAAAUCCAAUAUCAAUUUACUAUGUUUCUUUUUUCGUGUUUUUUUUAAAACUCGGUAUCCAGUCAAUGAUCGACUAAUCUAAAGACCAAUCCUAUAUUCUAGUAGAGUUUUCAAUUGAAAACAAGGUAAAAACAUAAUUGGAGGGCAUGUAUUGUUGAGUUCCAUUUGUAUACUUGGUGGAAUCUGACAUAUCUUAACCAAACCCUUUGCAUGGGCUCAACAUGCACUAGUUUAGUAUGGAGAAGCUUACUUGUCUUAUAGUUUAGCCGCUUUAUCCGUUUUUGGUUUUAUAACUUAUUACUUUGUCUAGUUUAAUAAUACUGCUAAUGAGUUUUAUGGUCUCAACUCUCAAUGGACCAAAACUCCAUAUGAACCGUCUUAACACAAAAUUUGGUAUAAGAGAAAAGUAAGUAUAAGAGAAAUCCAACUUAAAAUCUAGAAAACGGCACACACUGAGCUACUCUAUAUUAUGAACACAAAAAUUGGUAUAAGAGAAAAAUAGAAAAUUUGAACUUAAAAUCUAGAAAAAAAAAUGCAAACUCCAACAUCUCAAGCUUACAUCACCAAGCCAAACCUUGCAUGUUACUAACUAUGGUGCUUUCUUGCAUAAUAAUGAAUACAAAAACCACCGAUUCAUAUUAAAUGCGCUGCUUACAUAUAAUGAAUACAAUAAAUUCUCUACUUAAAACUCAUUUGGAUAAACACUAUAAAUUUCAGAACUAUAAAUUAGGGAGCUAUUGUAUGAGAUUUGUUUUACUUAAAAUGAUAGAUUCAUAUAUAGGCAUUUGAAACACUAAAUCACAUUAUUAUUAUUAUAUCAAAUACUUUGAAUCAAUCCCUUGGUAUUUAGAAAGAACUGAGACAUAACCAAAUUAACCAAUCAUGAUUUAAAUUAGCAGAAGGGGAUUAUCUCUUGCCAACAUUUAGUACUGAUUAUGCAUUAAUCAAGACAACAAUACAUAUGACAAGCCUUAAAAAACCCUGUCUAUAUAUGAAGCAAUUAGUUUUAAAGAGGCAAAUAGGUUGCUUCCAUAACAAGUUAAACAGUGUUGCAACAUAGAAAAACUAUAAUGCAUAAUCUGUAUUUUUACAUUGUGGACUACAUCAAAAUCAAUUGAUGCAGCUGAAAUAUUGUAGGCAUCACAUGACAAAUGCAGUGUUUGAAAAUUACCAGAAAAUCUACAAAUAACACUGCAUUGAUUGCAAAAUAACAUACCUAAUGAACAGUAUUGAACACAUCAAACCACAAUGGCCCUCAAGAUUCUUAGUGCUCUCAAAAAUUAACACUCUGAUCUCAUAGUAAAGCUCAAAUUUUGAGGCUCAAACUAAAAACCAAUAAUGUAAUAAGAACUAAAGGCAUAAGUUCUAUUCAAUUAACAAUAUAAAAAGGGAAGUUUCUUAGUAUCUCAAAUUCACUGAAACUAAAGCUAGACUAAGAAAUUCCUGAUUUUGAGAAGCCAUAUAAGAUUAAGAACACAGCAAAAUAUGAAACCAAUAAAAUGUUUCCUUACAACAUUCUAGAGUUGCUAUUAAGGAAGUGAAACGAAAUAACAUGAGUUGGUUCAUAGAGAAGUAAAUAUGAAAACAAAAACAUCUAGAUCCCCCAAUGUUUAGCUACCUAGUUUAGCUUUUAAAUUUUGCAACUAGAUCCCCCAAUGUAUUGAGAUUUAGCCUAUGUUUGGAAUCACAUUUAUUGAUCUUCUUAUCAUGAAGAAGCUUCUAAUAGUAUCUUCCCAUUUGACGCGCAUUGAUGCCGCGGUGUCUCUAUUCAUCUAACACACUCUUAGCUUUAUUUAAUUUUUGUUGCAUUGCUCCAAAUAACUAGUUUCUUCCCAAUUGUUAACAUGAAUUAUGCAUACGAUCGAUGAAACCAUAAACCAUGGUUACAGUGGGUUGCAAUUUCUGCUCCACUUACAAUGAUACAUAGACAUGUACAUCACAAUAUCACAGUGAAGAUCAAUGAAACACCUAUAGAUUUGUCCUAGCCCAAAGCCCCAACCAACUCCAAGCAUUGACACUAUCUAGUAUUAGCUUCUUACUGUUAACCAAUUUCUCUGCUGCCAAGUUAUCACACAUUCAUGCAGUACGUGAACUUAGACCAUUGGAUUUCACACAAGUCUUUUGUUUCAUGAGAAAGAAGAUGCAAGUAAAGGACUAAUCUGACGGUAUAAAUUAACUAACUAACUAACUGCAUGAAUGUGUGAUCUCGUGAAUGCUCAGAAUCCAAAACAGAUGUAAGAAAGUGACUAAAUGCAUUGUGAUAUCUAAUUUACAAGGGUCCUCUUGCCUAAGGUUAUUGCGUACUAACAUUCCUUUGCAUAAUAACUAACAAACAUAACAUUCCUUUGCAGUGGAUUGCUUCCAUAACAAGUCAAACAGUGUUGCAACCUAGAAAAAUUAUAUUCGUAUACAAAUCAUAGAGAAAAGUUUGUAAUAACAUUUCCAAAUAACUUCUGUCUCCUCCUCUCCCUAAUGCAUAACCUGUGAUUUUAAAUUGUAGACUACGUCAAGAUCAAUUGAUGCAACUGCAGUAUUGUUGGCAUCACAUGACAAAUGCAGCGUGUUUGAAAAUUACUAGAAAAUCUACAAAUAACACAGCAUUGAUUGCAACAAAACAUAUGUAAUGAACACAUAGAACCUCAAUGGCCCUCGAGCUAAAUUAAAGCUAGACUUAGAAACUCCUGAUUUUGAGAAGUCAUAUAAGAGAAAGAACACAGCAAAACAUUACAACAUUCUAGAGUUGCUAUUAAGGAAGUGAAGAAAACAGGAACAAAAAGUAUACAGGUUAAUGAUUGUAAUUUUUGUCAGAAACGAAAUAACAUAAUUGACUCCGAAAACAAAAACAUCUUACAUUUUAGAGCUCAACCUUCAGCAUAACACUUUAAGAAUGCUAGCAAACAAGGCAUCCAUGACACAAGAAGUAUUUCUUCUUUAUGUCAUUGAACAAAAAACUUGCUUUCUUUUUCAAUGAUGACCUUGAAAAUACAAUUGAGGCAACAAUACUAGUAUGCACUUUAUGACAACCAUCUUACUCGAUGUAAUGAUCUCAAAUUGAUUGUUAACAGUUUUCUUUCUUCUAUAUUGAUACCAUAACACUCAAUCUCUCUGAGUUUCGUGCAGUUUUCAACCACAAGCUUCACUCCGAUUUCUGUGACAACAAUACAACAUUUCAGUGAUAGUUGCAAUAGCCCACGGCAACUCUUUGAGAUCAUAUAAAGUGUUUCGUCAUCAACAUUUGUAUAUGAUAAGUUCAGCACCUCCAAUUUGGGAACUUUAAAGUUCAUUUCAAGUAGCUUCACUCUUGAACAGCGGGAUAAGUUCAAAUGUCCAAUGUUACAACACAUCCUUAACACUUGAGCAACACCUUCUCCUAUGCCACAGCAACUGCUCAAAUCAAACAGCAGUAAAUUGGGGGAAAUGGAAGCAAACAUUAUGAUAUUUUCAUCUGUUAACCACGGAUUGUGAGCCAAACGCAGAUACUUCAACUGAGGGCGUGAAGUAAAAUCCAUCAAAGAUUUAGAACUCUCUAGACUCUUUUUCCCAAUACUUGUGUUUUCCAUUUUGAUAUCACUGAGUGAAGGACAACUCUUAAUGAGUGCAAAGAAGGCAGAAAAUGUGAGCAACGAACAAUGAGACAAGUUUAUAGAUACCAAAUCACCCAGAUAUAAAGACAGCUCCACAACAUGUUUAUCAGUCAGAAAAACAGCAUUUUGAAGAUCCAAAUGUUGGCAAUGUUGACACUUGGAUAACAAAUAAAAGAUUCCAGAAUAAGUAUAGCCGGCACAAUUUUGAAGAACAAGUCUCUUCAAAGGUAGACCUUCAUUUGCAAUAGAGAAGAGCAAUUCAUUGAAAAUAUUUGAAGAUAACAAAUCAAGACAAGUCAAAUACUUCAAACUAACCAAGGAGGCAAUGAAUUGUGAAGUAAUGUAAGAUUCAUUGUAUUCCUGGUUGGCUUGUCCGUAAGUAAUGGAAAAGGAUAAAGACCUCAAUGCUGGUCUCUGGCGGAGAGCAGAAGCAAUACCAUCAAAGGUUAUGCGAUAACAGAACAACAUGAUAGCCUCUUCGAGAAGCUUACAGUUUUUGAACAAUUGGAAAAUCAAUUUGUCGUCAAUGUAAUGAUGACGAGAGAGAUUAACCUUGCGGAGUUUAAAAAGUGUGGAUAAAAGAGGCUCUGCCUCCUCGUAUUCGCAGAUGUGUGGGUCACUGAGGUCGAGGACUUCAAGUAAAGGGAAACAAUCGGAAAUUAGGGAAAUGUCAGUGCUAGAGAUAAAACUCGUAUUGGAACAAGUGAGAGUGGUCAAAGUUGUAAUCUUUUUGGAAAAAGCUCGCAACCCAUUUGCAGGAAUCCUGCAUUGGUUUGAUAGAUUGAGUGAUGUAAGUUUCAAUGGGAAACGACAGAUUUUGCGGAGAAGCCUAUUGAGAUUACCGUGGAAGCCUGAGAGGUUGAGGGAGGUGAGGUUGGUGAAUCUAUGUAAUAGAAUAGGAAGAAAGGGGAAGGUUUGAAGACAAAUUGUGAAAGAGAAUCGGAGACGGUUGGUGAUGAAGAGGAACUGUUUGGACACAAGGGAGAGUGAUUCCAAACUGCGAUUGUGGUCAACGAGGAAACUGAUGAUACAUUCCCAGCAUUCAAGGGGUAAAUGUAUAUCAGCAAGUAUUGUUUUUCUUCUGUUUGAUUGACUGGAUGAAGCCAUUUUUGUUUUUCCUGGAAGCAACAAAUUUUUUUUUUUUAGCACUGCAAGUUUUUAUUCAAAUUUUUCAGCAAGUACUCUAAACACAAAACUAGAUGGUUUUGUUCGGUAAAAUUAAGCUAUAAGCUAGUUAAAAAGCUAUUAGAAUGAAAUUAAAAUGUUUGAUAAAUUUACUAAUAAGACCUAAAGUAAAAAACUACAACGAGAUUUUAAGGCUACCUCAAAAUACAAUAAUAUAAAGGAUUAGUAGUAAACUACUGAUAAAAAAGACAAGGAUCACCUUUUCUGUGCCAACCAUCAAAUUGUUUGAGAGAGAUUCUCUUUCUUUCACAUCGAUUAGGUCAAGAACAGAAGUUAUAUCGAUUUGGAGUUAGGGUUAGGUUAUGUCGAUUUGGGGGUUAAGGUACUUACUACGCCAGGAAGACCAGAAGUUUGAUUUUUUUACUAAAGAUUAAAGAAGACGAAAUAAAUAAAUGCUGGAACAUUGUAUGAAAUAAAUACUUUUCUUUUUUUAAGCAUUGAAAUAAAUCCUUUAUCUUCAUAUUAAAAUGAGAUGCCAUAGUCUACAAACUCAAAUAAAUAGUAGCUAUCAGGAAUAUUAUAGGAGUGGUCGGGAUUCCAACUCCGGAUUCUACACUUUUUCACACUUAAAUGUGUGAGAGUCUAACCACUAGACUACUUGACAAGACAAAAAAAAUGAGAUGUCAUAUUUCGUAAGUUUAACUUAGUUGAAAGAACAAUAUAUUUAGGGGGUUGUGUUUGAAUAUCAACAUCACAUUUAUCCAUCUUAAGAGUGUAAUUUCUAGCCACCGAGCUACUUAGAAAAAUAAAUGAGAUUUGUAAUUAACCUUUUAAAAUAUAAAAAACAUCAUUUUCAAUACAAAACUUAUAUACAAAAUUAUUUGUUUUGUUUCCUUUAAAUUAAUACUGUAGUUAUUUUCAUUUGUAUAAAUGAAAUAACUACUUAAUUGAUACUGAUUUAAUUAGAACAACAUAAAAUAAAUAUAUAACUCACACUAAACUGACAAUAAUCAUAUCACCAUUUUAGUCAUAAAGAUAAAGAGAGUAAAAAAAAAUUAGUUUAUAAUAGAGCUGGUGAUCGAAUCCAGUCUAGGAUAUUACUUAAACCCUUCACCACUUAGACCGAGCCUAACAACUUAAGAGAGUCAACUUUUACUUUUAAAAAGUAUGAUCAACUGUCAUUAAAAUUUUUGGUAAUUUUUAACGUUAAUCCAUAGUAGACAAUUUAUAAAGGUGGUUAAAUUGUACACUCACGUCUAAAACUUGAGUUAAUUCCUCUAAUAAUGAUCCUUUUUAAAAAAAAAGGGUCUUCUAAAAGUGCUUAAAAUGAUUUUUAUCAAUGACACCUUUUAAAAUAUUAGGUUAGGAGUGAAAAAUAUACCUUCGGUGCUUCAUAGAUAGUGGAGAUUAACCAUCGCAAAAUAGCGCGGAGAUUUUGUAUCUAAAACAUAAUAAUAUAAAAAAGAUAAAAUUCUGUUAAAAAAAAAAGACAAAAUAAAAUAAGUCUCAUUUUGUUCGUAGUAUAGUGAGUAUGCUUUGAUCUAUAUUCAGGUUUAGUUUACUUAAUGACAACUAUUGAAAGGGGGGAAAUUAGUUACCUAUGAUUUAGCUUUUAACUUUUGCAAUUAGAUCCCUAAGCGAUUUAGCUUAUGCUUAGUAAGUUAGUACCACAUUAAUUGUUUGAUCUUUUUAUCGUGGAGAACUAGUUUAAAGAUUCGUACGAAUCUAUUGACUUUUAUUCGAUAUUUAAGUUUGUAAGUAUGUUAAUGUCAAAAAAAAAAUGUAGAAAAUUUAUAGUAGCUUGUGAUUUAACGCACAUAAAUGCUGCAGUUUUUCUCCAGUCCAAUACACGCUUAGCUUAAUUUAAUUUUCAUUGCAUUGCUCCAAAUGUUUCUUCCAAAUUGUUAACCUUUUUUGGGGUGUUCUUCUGCUGCCAUGUUAUGGCGAAUUCAUGCGGUAUGUGAACUUACCAUUGGAUUUCACACAAGCCUUUGGUUACGACUUUCAAGAGAAAGAAGAUGCAAGUAAAUGAUUAAACUGACGGUGUAAAUUAACUAACUAUUUGAAUGUGUGACCUCAUGACUGCUAAGAAUCAAAAAACAUUUGUGAGAACGUGACUAAACGUAUUGUGAUUUCAGAUCGAAUUUUCAAGGGUCCUCUUGCCUAAGGUUAUUGAGUAUUAAAUUUCCCUUGCACAAUAACUAACGAACCUAACAUUUUGGUUUCAAGCUUCCUAAAACCACCAGUUCAUAUUAUUAAAUUCUCUGCUAAAAACUCAUUUGGAAUUUUGGAUGAUUAACACUAGAAAAAAGGUUCAUUUCAAGAUUCUUUUUAAGAGCCUCAAAUUAAUGUAGAGAAUUUAGAACUAUAUAUUUGGGAGUUAUUGCAUGAGAUUUGUUUUACUUAAAAUGAUAGAUAGAUUCAUAUGUCAAUUGAUGCAGCUGCAAUAUUGUUGUCACCACAUGACAAAUGCAAUAUUGUUGUCACCACAUUAAAAAAUAGAAUGCUCUUUACACAUUUUGCUAAUUUGGCCUAUAUCUAGGUUUAAUUUAGUUUAUGACAAUUAUUGGGAGGGAGGAAAAAUUAGCUACCUAUUUUAUCUUUUAAAUUUUAUAACUUGAUCCUCAAGUUAAACAGUAUAUGUUUGGUAUCACAUUAAUUGAUGUUCUUAUCAUGAAGAAGCUUCUAAUAGUAGCUUCUCAUUUGACGCACACUGCUGCCAAAGUUUUUUCUAUAUUGAUCCAACACACACAACAUUUACAUCCAAUAUACGACGAAACCAUCGUUACAAUGAGUAGCGCUUAUAAUGAUACAUAGACAUGUACAUCCCAAUGUCACAAUGAAGAAUGAAGAUCAAUGAAACACCUAGAGUUGUCCCAGCCCAAAAACCCAACCAACUCCAAGCAUUGACACUAUCUAGUAUUAAUUUCUUACUGCUAACCAAUUCCUGUCAUACAUAUUUCAAUAAUACUUCCACUCAUCUCCACAUACUAGUACAUAUUCAAGCUAUACAAAGAAGAAAAAGAAAAUCAUUUUUUAGGGUAUUCAUGCAAAAUUUGAAAUCAUCACAUAUAUUAUUCUUAAUCAAAGAAUAUAAUUUCUCAGCUGCCAAGUUAUCGCGCAUUCAUGCAGUAUGUGAACUUACAACAUUGGAUUUCACACAAGUCUUUGGUUUCAAGAGAAAUAAGAUGCAAGGACUAAUAUGACAGUAACUAACAAACAUAACAUUUUGGUUUCAAGCUUCCAUAACAAGAUAAACAGUGUUGCAACCUUUAUAUUGGUAUACAAAAGAUAGAGAAAAGUUUGUAAUAACAUUUCCAAAUAACUUGUGUCUCCUCCUUUCCCUAAUGCAUAACCUGUAUUUUUACAUUGUGGACUAAUAAAAUCAAUUGAUGCAGCUGCAGUAUUGUUGGCAUCACAUGACAAAUGCAGUGUGUUUGAAAAUUACUAGAAAAUCUACAAAUAACAUACCUAAUGAACAGUAUUGAACAAUAUAAAAACCAAUAAUGUAGAAAAUCUACAAGAUUCUUAGUGCUCUCAAAGUUUGAGGGUCAAACUAAAAACCAAUAAUGUAAUAAGAACUAAAGGCAUAAGUUCUAUUCAAUUAACAACAAUAUAAAAAGGGAAGUUUCUUAUUAUCUCAAAUCCACUGAAACUAAAGCCAGACUAUGUAAUUGCUGAUAGUUAAAUUCCAGAUUUUAGGAAGUCAUAUAAGAUUAAGAACACAGCAAACAAUGCUAUUAAGCAGGUAAAACGAAAUAACAUAAGUUGAUUCAUAGAGAAGUAAAUCUGAAAAUAAAAACAACAGGAUAACACUUUAAUAAAUAAUAAUAAUGCUAGCAAACCAUACAUCCAUGAAGAACAAAACAACUUGUUUUCUUUCUCAAUGAUGGACUUCAAAAUACGAUCGAGACACAUGCUUCAAUCUGAGUUGCCCUGAAGUUUUCUAGCAUUUGCUUCAAUCCCAUUUCUGUGACUUUAGUACAGCCUUCCAGUGAUAGUUGCAAAAGCCCACGGCAACUCGUUGAGAUCACAUAAAGUGUUUCAUCAUCAACAUUUGUAUAUGACAAGUUCAACACCUCCAAUUUGGGAACUUCAAAGUUCAUUUCAAGUAGCUUUACUUUUGAACAGUAGGAUAAGUUCAAACGUCGAAUGUUACAACACAUCCUUAAAACUUGAGAAAUACCUUCUACGCACGGGCAAUUGGUCAAAUCGAGCAACUGUAAAUUGGGGGAAAUCGAAGCAAGCAUUGUGAUGUUUUCAUCUGUUAACCAUGGAUUGCCAGCCAAACGGAGAUACUUUAAUUGAGGGCGAGUAAAAUCCAUCAAAGAUUCGGAAUUCUCUAGACUAUUUUUCCCAGUGUAUUCCAUUUUGAUAUCACUAAGUGAAGGACAACUAUUAAUGAGUGCAAAGAAGGCUGAUAUUGUGAGUAACGAACAACAAGUCAAGUUUAUAUAUACCAAAUCACCCAGAAACAAAGACAGAUCCACAUUCCACAACAUGUUUAUCGGUCAGAAAAACAGCACCUUGAAGAUCCAAAUGUCGAAUAUGUCGACACUUGGAUAACAAAUCAAAGAUUCCAGAAUAACUAUAGCGGGCGCAAUUUUGGAGAACAAGUCUCAUCAAAGGUAGACCUUCGUUUGCAAUAGAGGAGAGCAAUUCAUCGGAAAUCUUUGACCAUAACAAAUCAAGAGAAGUCAAAUACUUCAAACUCACUAUGGAGGCAAUGAAUUGUGAAGUAAUGUAAGAUUCACCGUAUGCCAGUCCGAUACCAGUGGAAAAGGAUAAAGACGUCAAUCUUGGUGCCUCGCAGAGAGCAGAAGCAACACCACCACCAACAAAGGCUAAGUCAUAAUAUCUCAACAGGAUGACUUCUUCGAGAAGCGGACAAUUUUUGGACAAGUGGAAAAGCAAUUUGGCAAUGCCACCCAGACCAGAGAGAUUAACCUUGCGGAGUUUAAAAAGUGUGAAUGAAAGAUUCUCUACCUCCUGAUUAUCUUUGAAGGACACUGGGUCACUGAUGUCAAGGACUUCGAGUAAAGGGAAACAAUUGGCAAUGAGGAAAAUUUCAGUGCGAUAGAUACAUCUCAUAUGGGAACAAAUGAGAGAGGUCAGAGUUGUAAUCUUUUUGGAAAAAGCUAGCAACCCAUUUGUGGGAAUACCUUCUUGAUUUGAUAGAUUGAGUGAUGUUAGUUUCAAUCGGAAACGAGAGAUUUGGCGGAGAAGCCUGUUGAGGUUACUGAGGCUACUGCUUAAGCGCGAGAGGUUGAGGGAGGUGAGGUUGGUGAACCUGCGGUAGAGAAAAGGAAGAAAAGGGAUGGUUUGAUCACAGAUUGUGAGAGAGAAUCGGAGACUGUUGGUGAUAGUGUGAAGCUCUUUGGAGACGAGGGAGAGAGAUUUCAAACACUGGUUAUCAUCUUUGAGUAAAGUGGUGAUACAUUCCCAACACUCAACAGGUAAAGCAGCACACUCAACAGGUAAAGCAGCAACUGAUGUUUUUCUUCUUCUAUUUGGUUGUCUGGACGAUGACAUUGUUGUUGUUUUCUGUAAGCAACAAAUUGUUUGAAAAGUUAAGGAAAGAAUAGAAUAAUCACCUACCCUUCUUAUCACUAUUACUAUAAGAAAAAGAACAACUUUUUGCUCCUUCCAUUCCUAAAUAUGAAUCUCAACCAAAAAAAAAACAUGGGUAUAGCAAACACAUCUAAUUUUAUGAAACAAGUUGAUAAGCUAAUAUAAUAAGCAAUAAACUAGCUUAUUUGUAACAUGAAGUAGGAGGAGUACUCACAAGACCUAAAAGAAAAUAAAAAAACUGCAAAAAGAGGUUACUAAACUACUGAUAAAAAAAAGACAAGGAUCACCUUUUCUUUGCCUGCCAACAAAUUGUUUGAGAGAGAUUCUGUGUCUUUGAGGGAUUCUCCACACCACCACGUUAAGGUUAGGUUAAGUCAAGAAAAUGAUGACAAGUUAAGGUUUUUGAGGGAUUCUCCACACCACCACGUUCCCCAACGCCCUUUCACUCAACCGCCGUCGAUCACCGAGCUUUUUGUUUCUCGUGUUUCUGUUCCUCUCUGCGCCGGAAAACGAAGGUGGUUGCUGCGGAUCUGGGCCCUUCUAGUUCGGAUCCUGGUGUUGUUGGGCUCUUUUUUGGGUCGUUGUUUUUCGGUGGAUGUGGUGGUUCAGCGCGAAUCCGAAGGUCUCUGUGUGAUCUUGGUGUUGUGGUGGUGGGUUUCGAUGGAGGUUUUUUUGGAGUGGUGGUGUUAUUUUUUCCUCACGGCUUAUUAGGUUAGAGUGGAAAAUAUACUUUAUGUGCUUCAUGGAUAGUGGGGAUUAAUCACCUGGAAAUUUUGUACCUAAAACAUGAUAAUAAUAUAAAAAAGGUAAAAGUGUCAUUUUAUUCGUAUGCAUUGAAUAUGAAUGAAUGUCUAGGAGAAUAUCCCAUACAAAACAUGAAAAGAUAGGUUAGUAAUAAAUUAAUACAGUACAUAAGAAAGUGAAGAAAACUUACCUAGGAGGCUCAUUCAUUUGCUAAUUUGGUCUAUAUCCAGGUUUAGUUUAGUUAAUGACUAAAUGCAUGGUGAUUUCAGAUCGAAUUUUCAAGAGUCCUCUUCUCUUGCCUAAGGUUAUUGAGUAUUAAAUUUCACUCUUAUACAAUACUCUCUCCGGACAAAAAUAUAAGGCAAAAUGCACUUUUUAGAUUCAUUGAAUAAUGAAUGUAUCUGUCAUAUAUAUAUAUAUAUAUAUAUAUAUAUAUAUAUAUAUAUAUAUAUAUAUAUAUAUAUAGUCCAGAUACAUUCAUUAUUCAAUAAAUCUAAAAAAUGUAUUUUGCCUUAUAUUUGUGUCCGAAGAAAGUAACUAUCAAGCAUAACAUUUUGGUUUCAAGCUUCUUGAAACCACCGGUUUAUAUUAUUAAAUUCUCUACUUAAAACUCAUUUGGCUAAUUAAUAAUAGUAAAAAGGUUCUUUUCAAGUUUUUUUUAAGAACCUCAAAUUAAUGGAGAAAAUGUAGAACUAUAAAUUUGGGAGUAAUUGCAUGAGAUUUGUUUUACUUAAAAUGAUAGAUCCGUAUAUCAAUUGAUGCAGCUGCAAUAUUGUUGCCACCACAUAACAAAUGCGGUGUGUUUGAAACUUACCAGAAAAUAUCAACAAAUAACAUAAGUUGGUUCAAAGAGAAGAAAAUCUGAAAACAAAAACUUUCAAACUUCACCACAACACUUUAAGAAUGUUAGCAAAUAAGGCAUCCAUGAUGUGACUGAAAAGCACUUUAUGACAAUCAUCUUACUUGAUCAAUCUGAGUUGCCUGCAGUUUUCUAGCACAUGCUUCACUCCCAUUUCUGUGGCAUCAGUACAACAUUUCAGUGAUAGUUGCAAUAGCCCACGGAAACUCUUUGAGAUCAUAUAAAGUGUUUCGUCAUCAACAUUUGUAUAUGAUAAGUUCAACACCUCCAGUUUCGGAACUUCAAAGUUUAUUUCAAGUAGCUUCACUCUUGAACAGCGGGAUAAGUUCAAAUGUCUAAUGUUACAGCACAUACUUAAAACUUGGGCAAUACCUUCUUUUAUGCGCCAGCAAUUGCUCAAAUCGAGCAGCUGUAAAUUUGGGGAAAUGGAAGCAAACAUUAUGAUGUUUUCAUCUGUUAACCAUUGAUUGUGAGUCAAACGGAGAUACUUUAAUUGAGGGCGUGGAGUAAAAUCCAUCGAAGAUUUAGAACUCUCUAUACUCUAGAUCUUAUUCCCAAUACUUGUGUUUUCCAUUUUGAUAUCACUGAGUGAAGGACAGCUCUUAAUGAGUGCAAAGAAGGCAGAUACUGUGAGCAACAAACAAUGAGUCAAGUUUAUAGAUACCAAAUCACCCAGAAACAAAGACAACUCCACAACAUCUUUAUCAGUAAGAAAAACAGCAUUUUGAAGAUCCAAAUGUUGGAAAUGUUGACACUUGAACAACAAAUAAAAGAUUCCAGAAUAACUAUAGCCGGUGCAUUCUUGGAGAACAAGUCUCGUUAAAGGAAUACCUUUGUUUGCAAUAGAGAAGAUCAAUUCAUCAGAAAUAAUCGAACAAGUCAAAUCAAACAAGUCAAUGACUUUGAACUCACCAUUGAGGCAAUGAAAUGGGAAGUAAUGGAAGUUACAAAGUAAGCAUUGGAAAAGGAUAAAGACCUCAACGUUGGCCUCUCACAUAGAGCAGAAGCAAUACCAUCAAAAGUAAUGCCAAAACAGGUCAACAUGAUAGCCUCUUCGAGAAACUUACAAUUUUUGAACAAGUGGAAAAUCAAUUUGUCGUCAAUGUAAUGAUACGAGAGAGAGAGAGAUUAACCUUGCGAAGUUUAAAAAGCGUCAGUAAAAGAGGCUCUACCUCCUCGUGUUCCCAGUAGUGUGGGUAACUGAGGUCGAGGACUUCGAGUAAAAGAAAACAGUCAGAGAUAACGAAAAUGUCAGUGCUAUUGAUACUGCUGUGCUCAUGUUGGAACAAGUGAGAGAGGUUAAAGUUGUAUUUGCAGGAAUACUGGGUUGAUUUGAUAGAUUGAGUGAUGUUAGUUUCAAUGGGAAACAAGAGAUUUGGCGGAGAAGCCUGUUGAGGUUAGUGAGGCUACUGCUUAGGCGCGAGAGGUUGAGGGAGGUGAGGUUGGUGAACCUGCGGUCGAGAAUAUGAAGAAAAGGGAGGGUUUGAUCACAGAUUGUGAGAGAGAAUCGGAGACUGUUAGUGAUAGUGUGGAACUGUUUGGAGACGACGGAGAGAGAUUCCAAACAACGAUUGUGAUCCAUGAGGAGAGUGAUGACAUAUUCCCAACACUCAUCGGGUAAAUAUAAAUCAGCAAGCAUUGUUUUUCUUCUUCUUUUAGCUUGACAGGAGGAUGCCAUUGUUGUUUUUGUGGAAGCAGCAAAUUGUUUGAGAGAGAUUCUGUCUUUAGUAGUUAGUACGCAAAGAAGAAGAGAAAUUAAGGAUAGAGAUGGAUAGUGGAUUUUUUUUUCAUCUAAAAGUGUUUAACCGAUAACUCCUAAAAGUGCUUAACUGAUUUUUUUAUCCAAAGCGUAUGUUAGAUAAAAUAAAACAAGUAUCCCUAGUUCAUGUAUUAGAGGAGAAAUCAGUUACUUUUUACCCGCAGGGUGCGUUUGAUUUGCUAAAAAACAGGGGACUGGACAGGACAACUUUUGUUGUAUUCUGUUUGAUUUGAAAUUUGUUAUGGGACUGGACAAAUUAGAUAGCAAGGGACAGGACAAAAACAAGAUUUUUUGUCCCUCACUAAACCACGGGACAACUUUUUGUCCACAGUACAAAUAUAAAAAAUACGAAAAUACCCAUUUUAUUUUCGAAUAUAAAAAUAUUAUCGUCCUAUAUCUUUCCGGUACAGGUUUGUCCU
rnacentral:lncRNA from 1 species